AAAUUCCCAAAUCGUUCUUCCUUCCUUCAUCCUCCCCAGUUUGGCAGUUUCCAUAUUCGCCGAUGGUGUGUGGGCCGCUAUCCAUCCGUCCGUCCGCCGCCGUCUCUUUACUUUUUGCGAUGACCCUUGUUUUCUUUCUUCUCUUCCUCCUCAACUGAUGCCGUCCUGAGUCAGGGGGAGCCGUGCGUCGCUUUCUUCUCCUCCUCCUUGAUCUUGUGAUGUGCAGGACUGAAGUGUGAGUCUAGGUGAGUCUCACUCCUCUUGCUGUUGCGUUUUGGACUCGUCCGUCUUGCUUGUCUGCGGCUGUGUGUGCAGAUGUAUGGAUUUCAGCCCCUUGUUCCAUUAGUUCUUUGGUUUUUUUAAUCUUCUAGUGGUAAGAUUAAAAUUUUCCGCUUUUAUUGUGGCUGCUUUGGUAGAAUUCUUGAGUUAGGGAGGUGAGGAUUGAAUGGGUCAUUGCUACAAGUUCAGGAAAAAGAAACUUGUUUUGUUAACUUGAAUUUUGAUGCAUGAUAGGUCUUUGAUGAAAUGUUUGAAAGCGAAAAUUAAAAUUUAAGGGGUUAGCAAUAAUUUAUGGCUGCUUGCUUGCCGGUUAAGAUGUUUGGUUGUUGAGUUAAGUUGAAUGCCAAUAAGGUGUUUGACGAACUGCGCGAAAGAAGAAUGAGACUUGGAGAUUUUGUUUAGUUUAGACAUGAGAUUAUGAAAUUUAUUUGGAUUUGUAUUGUAUUAAAAUUUUGAUGAUUGCAAAAGAGAAUUAUGGAAUUUAAUUAUGUGUCAAGUUAAUAAUGUUGAGAAGUUAACAUGUGUCACUGCGUGUUGACGCAAGGGUGCUUGAAGUUGCUUGGCUACUAAUGGAACAAGAAAAUAAAGGUGUUGUUAUUAAUCCUGGAAGCUAUUCGGAUACUUAAGAGUUAUAUGAAUUGUUGAUUGGUUAAGUGUGAUGUUUAUUGUAUGAGUUAAUCUGAGACAUGCAAUCUUGUAGAAGAAUUGAAUUAAAUUAAGAUGGUUAAAUGUUUCUAAAUUGGUUUGUGGACUGGUGUAAAAGAGGAAUUUGGUUCUUGUGCUGUAUUAUUGAGUUGAUUUGGAAAAUCCCUGCGUAAAUUUUUAUUGGAGUAUUAAUAUUGUUGUGUUUGGGAGGAGCGAGCAUGUUGCAAAAUUGUAUGAAUAGAAGUAAAUGGUAUAUUCGGGAAAGUAGAGCCACGAGAAUCAUUUCCUCAGCGUUUCACAAAAAUAUUCCAAACGAUUGCCGUUUAUCCGCAGCGGUGGAGAGAAGCUUAGCCCGAAGCCAUAUGAAGCGCAGGCCAGUCCAUUAGAACAGAGCUUCGAAACGGUUGUCGUGACAUUCUAGGAGAAGGAGAAGCUUCGUAGCUUUAUCGUCAAUGGAGGCACCAUGUUGCCCAUCGAUGGUGGCUUUAGUACGGGGAAAAAAGUUAGUGUAGUUGGAUAAGCUGACACAUUUGAUUAGAAAAGCAAAGAUUUUUGUCCAUGAUUUUGACUUCUUCUUUGGCAUGCGAAGUCAUGUGUCUGAUUAGAAGGCGAUGGUUAUUAAUUGGCUUUAAUCUCCGUCUAUGUUAAUGGCUGCCCCAUUCUUCUUACUCUGUCUAAAUGCAGAUGAUGUUUCAUUUCUUUGUUAGUUUUCUGUAGUAAUUAUGCUUUUGUUUUGAAUUAUAUUUUCCAGUUUCUAGUAAAAAUGUUUUUUAGUUGUGCUAAAAUUUUGCUUUCAAAUGCGUUGGUUUGUUUUUAUCCAGUCAAUGGAUAAGACUAGGGCUGCUUAUUGCUAA